UGAGGAAUAUUGGGCAAUGCCCGCAAGGGUGACCCAGCAACGCCGCGUGGAGGAUGAAUGUCGUAAGAUUGUAAACUCCUGUUAGAGGGGAAGAAUAGUACCGGUUGGACCGGUAUAUGACUGUACCCUCAGAGAAAGCCCCGGCUAACUACGUGCCAGCAGCCGCGGUAAUACGUAGGGGGCACGCGUUGUCCGGAUUUACUGGGUGUAAAGGGCGCGCAGGCGGGAUAAAAAGUCAGUGGUGAAAUCCUACAGCUUAACUGUAGAACUGCCUUUGAUACUUUGAUUCUUGAGUUCGGGAGAGAGAGACGGAAUUCCAGGUGUAGUGGUGAAAUACGUAGAUAUCUGGAAGAACACCAGUUGCGAAGGCGGUCUCUUGGUCCGACACUGACGCUGAGGCGCGAAAGCGUGGGG
rnacentral:rRNA from 1 species